CAGUCGCCGCGGUAAUACGUAGGUGGCAAGCGUUGUCCGGAAUUAUUGGGCGUAAAGCGCGCGCAGGCGGAUCAGUCAGUCUGUCUUAAAAGUUCGGGGCUUAACCCCGUGAUGGGAUGGAAACUGCUGAUCUAGAGUAUCGGAGAGGAAAGUGGAAUCCCUAGUGUAGCGGUGAGAUGCGUAGAUAUUAGGAAGAACACCAGUGGCGAAGGCGACUUUCUGGACGAAAACUGACGCUGAGGCGCGAAAGCCAGGGGAGCGAACGGGAUUAGAUACCCGAGUAGUCCCUGUCUCUUAUACA
rnacentral:rRNA from 1 species